rnacentral:rRNA from 1 species
CCUGGCGGCACUAGCGCGGUGGUCCCACCUGACCCCAUGCCGAACUCAGAAGUGAAACGCCGUAGCCGCUGGUAGUGUGGGGUCUCCCCAUGUGAGAGUAGGGAACUGCCAGGC